CCUACGGGGGGCAGCAGUAGGGAAUAUUGCUCAAUGGGGGAAACCCUGAAGCAGCAACGCCGCGUGGAGGAUGAAGGUUUUCGGAGUGUAAACUCCUUUUGUUAGAGAAGAGAAUGACGGUAGCUAACGAAUAAGCACCGGCGAACACCGGGCCCGCAGCCGCGGUAAUACGGAGGGUGCAAGAGUUACUCGGAAUCACUGGGCGUAAAGAGCGCGUAGGCGGGAUAGCAAGUCAGAUGUGAAAUCCUAGGGCUUAACCAUAGAACUGCAUUUGAAACUGUUAUUCUAGAGUAUGGGAGCGGUCGGUGGAAUUCUUGGUGUAGUGGUUAUAUCCGU
rnacentral:rRNA from 1 species